AAGUCGUAACAAGGUUUCCGUAGGUGAACCUGCGGAAGGAUCAUUUAAUGAGUUUGAACAGGAUUUGAUGCUGGUCUGCUCUGGCGGACAUGUGCUCAGUUCUACUCAAUCCAUUCAACAUCUGUGCACUUUCAAAGUUUGAAGUCCUCCGUCAUGGGAGCUGCGGUCUUGUAAUGAGACUGCUGGGACUUCGCUUUGCCCAUUAUCACAAACCAAUUUGAAGUCUUGUAGAAUGUAACUAGCCUAAGGGCUUAAUCUAAUACAACUUUCAACAACGGAUCUCUUGGCUCUC
rnacentral:misc_RNA from 1 species